CUCACGUCAGCGACAUGGAAACGUACGUAGUGAAUAUUGUCAGCAAAAUUGUUGAAAAUAAAAAAAUGACAAGCUAACUGUUGCCUUAUGAUUUAUUUCGUAACUAUGAUCGAUACUACGUCGUUAAUUUAUUAAGAGAAAAAAAUUUUAUGUUUAGUGGUUAUGUUUACUUUUAAGCAGAGGCAAACUUUCGAAGAAAGGACGUAAUAGUUUACAAACAAAGAGAACAAUAAAAUUGAAUAAUUCCUGACAUGUGAUUGGUCCAACGGAUGUCAAGAUGACUUUUGUCAUGCGAGAGUCUAUAUUACCAUACGUGCACUCAACUUGCACUCAAACUGGAUGAAACACGUUCCACUAUAAUUACAUUAAUAAAUGUAAUCGAAUUGAUUUAAUUAAUUUAGAAAAUCAUUUAAUGAUCUAUGUACACAUUCGACGGUGCACGCCAUCUAAUGCGACGUUCAAGCUUACAGGUACUCAUAGGUGGCAUUUUAAAUUGAGGAGAAAGUAUUUAGAAAUUACAUUUGUGUAAUUCAUUGCGUCUGAAGCUUGGAACGUUAUGGAAAUUUAUUUUAUCAUAAUAAAAUUAUAGAAUGUCGAAUUAAAUUAGUUAAUUAUUAAAUUAGUUGACUCUGUUUUUACAGAGCAAUAAUUUAAAUAAAAUAAAAAUUUACUUUUUGUAACUUAUAUAGUAGAAUAAAUAUUCAAAAUAUUCAAUUCUAGUUCAAUAAUAACAAUAAUAAAGGAACAUCUUUUUUUAU